UACGGGGGGGGCAAGCGUUGUUCGGAAUUACUGGGCGUAAAGGGCUCGUAGGCGGCCAACUAAGUCAGACGUGAAAUCCCUCGGCUUAACCGGGGAACUGCGUCUGAUACUGGAUGGCUUGAGUUUGUGAGAGGGAUGCGGAAUUCCAGGUGUAGCGGUGAAAUGCGUAGAUAUCUGGAGGAACACCGGUGGCGAAGGCGGCAUCCUGGACCAAUACUGACGCUGAGGAGCGAAAGCCAGGGGAGCAAACGGG
rnacentral:rRNA from 1 species